CGACUUAGUUUGAAUUAAUUUAUUAUUUAUUUUAUUUAAUAAAAUGGUUAAAAUUUGUUAAUAAUUGAAAUAUCUUUUUGUUAUUGUAUUUAUAAAAAUUUAAUUUAUUUUGUGAUAGUUUAUUUUGUACUGUAAAGGUAUAAUGAUUUAAGUUUUUGUGAAGUAGAUUUUAUUUAUUGUACCUUGUGUAUCAGGGAUUAUUUAAAUAAUUUAAUUAUUUUAAUUUUCUCGAUUUUGAAAGAGUUAUUUUAUUAUUAUGGUUAUUGUUGAAUAUAUAUCAUAAAUAUUUAAUGGUGGUGAAAUGUUAUUCGAUUUUAAAGAUAUCUGGUUUCUUGGGAAAUAAAUUUAAUUUGUGUUUAGUUUUAUAAUAUUUAUUUAUUUUUAUUAGAUAUUUUAAUUGAUACAGGUGUUUUGAGGGAUUAUCUUUGAAUCAAAAUUUUAUAAUGUGUUUUAUUUAUUUAUUAGGUUGGAUUUAGGAGUAGUCAUAUAAUUUAAAGUGUGUUUAAACUUGUUUAAUUUUUAUUUUUUAUUUAUUUGGAUGUUUAGAUUUUUUACUGGGAUUAUUAAUUUAGUUUAUUUUUUAUUUUAUUUAUGAUGAUAUUAGUAUAUUAUUAUUAGUUGUUAAUGUUUAUUUUGUUGUUAAAUUAAUUAUGAGGAAUUCGGCAAAUUUUUAUUUAUUUGUUUAACAAAAACAUUUCUUCUUGUUUAUAUAUGAAGUAUGGCCUGCCCACUGAAGUUUAUUGAAGGGCCGCGGUAUUUUGACCGUGCAAAGGUAGCAUAAUCAUUAGUUUCUUAAUUGGGGACUUGUAUGAAUGGCUGGAUAAGAUAAAAUCUAUCUUAUUAUUAUUUUUAUUUGAAUUUAACUUUUGAAUUAAAAGGUUUAAAUAGUUUCAUGGGACGAGAAGACCCUAUAGAGUUUUAUACUAGUAUUUAUUUUGUUUAUUGUUGGAUUAAUUUUGGGAUUGUUAAAUUUUAUUGGUAUUUUAUUGGGGUGAUAAUGAGAAUUAUGAAACUCUUGUUUGGUUAAUAUAUACUGAUUUGUAUAUUUGGGAUCCAUUAUUGUUGAUUGAAAGAUUAAAUUACCUUAGGGAUAACAGCGUGAUUUUUUUGGAGAGUUCUAAUCGAUAAAAAAGAUUGCGACCUCGAUGUUGGAUUGAAGAUAAAUUAUUGGUGAAGAAUUUAAUAUAAUUAGGUCUGUUCGACCUUUAAAAUCUUACAUGAUCUGAGUUCAAACCGGCGUGAGCCAGGUUGGUUUCUAUCUAUGAAUUUGUUUAAUAUUUUAGUACGAAAGGACCAAGUAUUAUUAAUAAUUAUUUUUUUAUUGAUUAAUUGUUAAUUACUUUGGCAGAUAAGUGCAAUGGAUUUAGAAUUCAUU
rnacentral:rRNA from 1 species